rnacentral:rRNA from 1 species
CAUUAUCUGGGUUGAGGACAGUGCCUGGUGGGUAGUUUGACUGGGGCGGUCUCCUCCCAAAGAGUAACGGAGGAGCACGAAGGUGGGCUAAUCACGGUUGGACAUCGUGAGGUUAGUGCAAUGGCAUAAGCCCGCUUAACUGCGAGAAUGACGGUUCGAGCAGGUGCGAAAGCAGGUCAUAGUGAUCCGGUGGUUCUGUAUGGAAGGGCCAUCGCUCAACGGAUAAAAGGUACUCCGGGGAUAACAGGCUGAUACCGCCCAAGAGUUCAUAUCGACGGCGGUGUUUGGCACCUCGAUGUCGGCUCAUCACAUCCUGGGGCUGAAGUCGGUCCCAAGGGUAUGGCUGUUCGCCAUUUAAAGUGGUACGCGAGCUGGGUUUAGAACGUCGUGAGACAGUUCGGUCCCUAUCUGCCGUGGGCGUUGGAAGAUUGAAGGGGGCUGCUCCUAGUACGAGAGGACCGGAGUGGACGAACCUCUGGUGUUCGGGUUGUGUCGCCAGACGCAUUGCCCGGUAGCUAAGUUCGGAAUUGAUAAGCGCUGAAAGCAUCUAAGCGCGAAGCGAGCCCUGAGAUGAGUCUUCCCUGACAGUUUAACUGUCCUAAAGGGUUGUUCGAGACUAGAACGUUGAUAGGCAGGGUGUGUAAGCGUUGUGAGGCGUUGAGCUAACCUGUACUAAUUGCCCGUGAGGCUUAACCAUACAACACCCAAGGGGUUUUGUA